AUGGGGAAAGAAAGCAGGACAGACAGAUUUCAGUAAGACGUGUUCAUGAUGCAGUGACCAAAAAAAAAAAGCAAAGACAUCCAGAGUAUAGGGCAUGAGCUAGAAAGCUUUAUUUUUGUUAUAUUUUAUUAUUUUUUAUUUUGGGUUGAAGAGAUUGCUGAGGAGAGACUCGACCCGAGGAACUCUGGCUGGGUCAGGAGAGAACCUGGACCACACGUCCUGCUGUCGGAUAAGCGCUGGAUCCUGGAGGGUUUGAUGCCACCGGAGCCGAGGAGCACAGGUCCGCGAGGAAACGAGGAAAGGGAUUUUCGCAGCUGCUCUUCGUCGACUGUCGGUUUGGAUCCGCUCUUGUGACGGGAGACGCUGUUUGAACGGUGCACACUGCUGGAUCUCCGGUGGCCUGCCGGCGGCGCUAUCACUGAAGGCUUUUCCGCUGGCUGUGGAUGCUUCAUACCAAAUUUCAUAACCGGGUCUUUUAGCCUUGAAACAAGCAACCUGGAAAUACAGGACUACAUCAUCCAAAGCCCUUGCCGAGGGAUGCACUAACAGUGCCCAGGCACUGGAUCUGAAAGCUUUACAUUCCUCUUUACUUACCAACAAACCA
rnacentral:lncRNA from 1 species